CUUUAUGAUUUCAGAGCAUUAAAAAUUAGCAUCUAGAAAAGGAAUAAAACCUCUUGUAACUGCACAAACAAUUGGUAUAUAUAUAUAUAUUAAAAAAAAAAAAAAAGGAUAUGUGGUAGAGUUUUGUGCUUUUCAUAUAUCAUUCCGCACCUUGUAGUGUCACAUAUGGGACCAGAGUUUGAAAUACUCACGUUUUUUUACCAUAAUGUGUUCUAGCUUUAGAAAUUAAUAUAAGUUAUAAUUUAUAUCUUUCAUGAAACUCAGAUAUUCCUAAUUAUGUGAAGAUGAUCACGAUUUUGCUUAGCUCUUAAAUUCUCAAAGGUAACUUUACAUCUACAAUAAACAAUAUAAAUUCCUUUGCUUUUUUUUUUCAUGCUAUAGAUAGUUAACAUUACUAAUUGAAUAUUUAACUUAAAGAUUAUUCUUUUAAUGAUAAAUGAAUACUUUUUAUAAACACUUACCUAUUUGCUAUUUAUGAGAUUUAUAUUGUUUUCAUAAGAAACAUGACAUGUCCUUUGGUACGUUCAAUUGAACUCAAGUUAUUAUGCUAAUUAUUUUCAUAUGUUCAUGUCCCAUUAAUGUAAUUAUGUGUGCUCAAAUUUUACUAUUCUAAUCUCAAUUCCCUUUAUGCAUUUGCACGCUAUGCUUAAGGGUGUGGAUUUUAUAAGGCGGUAACCUUAUUGUAGUGUUUUAUACCAUCCAUUUUAAUUAGAUGAUGUAAGUUUGGCACAUUUUCUUAGAUAAUGCGAAAAUCUAACACGUUUUUUGAGAUAUUGUCAAAUCUACAUUUGCCAACUAAAAUGGAUGGUGUAGACUGCAACCUUAUUUCUACUCUACAAGUGAGGUUCAUGUUCCUUACACUUAGAACAUGGUUUAAGUUCACAUUAUGUUUAAAAUAUCCUUGUCUUUUAAGAAAUAAUUUAACAUAAGCUUUUGUCAUUGUUCUUGAUAAUUUUGGUUUUCUAGUUCUUUUUUUAAAUGAAAAAUUUUGGGGCAAAUCUUUUCUGAAAGUUUAGUUUGUUUGUUAGUUUUCCUCCACACUUUGUUAAGCAACUAUCAUGGCAGAAACUAAUCACACUUAUAUGCUAUCAAGCGAUUGUUUCCUAUAAUACAACAUCCUAAUAGUAGAGUUACAUAAGGCAAUUGGGUUGAGUUGUCCUGUCGACCCAAACAACACAACUUGGGUCCAGGCUUAGGUCGGUCUGGUUUGGGUGGCUCGGCCAGAUAUAUUUAUAUAUACAAUAUCUAUAACAAAUAUUUUCAUGUAUUAAAAUAUAUAAUAAAAAAGAUCUAGACUUUUUUUAUUUAGACCAAGACCUGACCCUACCCAGUGGCUCAUGUUCAGGUCCAAUGACUUGGACCCAACCUGUGUACAUGUCCAACAUGGACCCAUUCAGGUCAGCUCCAGGUCAGUCGGCCCCCACCAUACCCGUUUACAACCCCAAGUGAACUUAGGAUCUCAUACUCCAAAAAUUUUAAACAUUAUAAAUGCCAUUGUGGUGUGCUUUAUAUGGCAGGGCAUAUUCUAAUUUUACAAUCUGCAAUAAUUUUUUGAAUUUACAAUAGAUUUAUUUCCUCCCUUGAUUCUCUCUUUAUUUUGGAUUGGUGAAAAUAUAUUAAUUUCAAUCAUCCCUUUCCAUCAGAUGUAGCACUAGUCUGUGAAUGGAACAUGAACAGUAUUUGAAGUUUGAUAAAAUAUUUUAAAAUUUUGUGCAUAGAAAUAAGACAUUCUUAAUCACACGAUUUUACAUCCGAUAACUAGAAGUGAUUGUUCUUUCUUGUAACAAAGACGAAGUCCCAACAAGUAAAUGUUUAACAUUACGGACCAAUACACUACAGGUCAAAUGUUUUGCAGUACUCACCGUUACAAUUGUGUAUGAUUUGUUGUUAAAAAACUUGAUACUUUUUAAAAUGAUUAUUGACAUACCAAACCAAACUAGGGAGACUCAAUUCAUUAUGGCCAUUUUUCUCAAGUUCACCCAAAUUUCUAGUCGACAUGGCAAAUCGAUAGAGAAGUUUAAAAAUAGUCUAUAGAAUUUUGGUAUGAAUGUUAGAUACCUAACCAAUACUCCCCAAAACCAUUGGGUGAUAAAAAAGCGGAAAGUUAGGCCUUUAAACCACCGAGGAUCUUUACAUACACGCCCCUCGGCUGAGGUUAGGUCUCACUCUAAGGUGGCUCUCACUCUCUAUGGCAGCUUUCAUUCUAAUACUUAUUUAUUCGAGUAGUCAUUUUUAUAGGUAGCCUUUUCCACCGGUCGCCUUGGACCUAGGUCAUAGUUGCUCUGAUACCAAAUUAGGUACCUAACCAAUAGGACCCAAAACCUUUGGGUGAUAGAAACACAUAAAGUUAGGCCCUUAAACUGCCAAAUAUCGUUAUAGGUUCAUACGAUCCCAAAUAGUUGGGAUAACGCUCAAAAUGAUGAUGAUGAUGCUUAAGUUUACAUGGAAUUUAGACCUAAUACCAAAUCCCUCCCCUUAAUUUGGUCUAUAUUGAACCAAUAUGUGGGAGGGAAUGUAAACAAUUUAAUUUAGAAAAAAAACGGAAGUGUUUUCAAUGCAUGAAUUGGUUCCAACAUCCAUGUCAUAACCAAAUUUUUGUUUUGACCAGUGUUUUAAACACGAACCAGUGGGGUGGAUCCGCUUUAGCCUGAUCACCGUUUCCGAUCUGCAUUAGGGCAAAUUGGCAAUAGAAAUACAAUAAAAAUUAAAGCACAAAAAAGAAGAAGAUUUGUGGAGAGCCAUUUUUCAUAGUUUUUUCCUUGAUGAUUUAAGAACUAACAAAUAAAAACAUAAUUUUUCUCUAAAUGGAAGAAAUUUCCAAAGAUUUUGACAUAUGAAGGGCCGAACCAACCGAUUCUAACCAGGACUUGGGGCGGCAAACCAAAUCACUUAUUUUUUUUAAAUCACUAAUAUUGACAUUUGAAUAAGUAAAGGUGGAAUUUAAGAUGAAAAUUGUACCUCGGAAAGCACUUCCCUAAAAACAAUAUUAUGCAUCGACUACUUGUUCUGAAAUAUUUUUACUUCCUAAAAAAAAAUUGAAUUCAUAAAAAAUUGAGCAAGCAUCUCCCAAAAUUAGAUUUUUACCAUGGGAGCAAAUGAACACCAUGCUCCUGCCAAAGCCGGGAAAUGUUUUCACAUUAGUUAUUAGUAUCGGACCCAAGGCCAAUAAGAAAGCCCAAAGUUAUUAUAUGGUCCAUUUAUGCCUUCGGUGAAACCCAUCUAGGAUUAAUUUUAGGACCAUUUUGGAGAUCUAAGCACUUCAACCUCAUAGAUUAACCUCAAUAAUAAUAAAAACUCUUUAAUUGUACCUUGUAUCCUAACGAUUGAAUAGAGGCCGUCCAAUUUUUAGUGGGUGAAAUCUAAGUGUUAAAAGACUAAAAUUUGAAUUUUUUAGAGGGUGAGAUCUAAGCAAUAGAAAACUCAAAUUUGAAUUUUUUAAAACAAUUAUAUAGAAUUAUUAGAUAAUUCCCCAAAUUUUAGAUUGCGAAAAACUUCCUAAGUACGUACCGUGACCGAGGGAGUAGAUGCAUACUAUCACAUAAAAAUAAAACAAAACUCCAUAAAAGGAGGCUUAGGUUACCAUAUGGAUUUGAACCUACUCUAGCGGAUGCCAUUGUCAUUAGAGGAUCUAACAAAAUUCUACAAAAAUAUGGAUAGGAAUAAUUAUAUGGUGCAGGUUGUAUAGACAAUCAAAGUAAAGCGCAUCUUCGAAAUAUGGUUUCAAUACUGAAAAUCUUUGUGAUAGGCUUAGGUUACCAUAUGGAUUUGAACCUACUCUAGCGGAUGCCAUUGUCAUUAGAGGAUCUAACAAAAUUCUACAAAAAUAUGGAUAGGAAUAAUUAUAUGGUGCAGGUUGUAUAGACAAUCAAAGUAAAGCGCAUCUUCGAAAUAUGGUUUCAAUACUGAAAAUCUUUGUGAUAGCCUUAAAAUAUAUUUUCAUCUUUAAUUAUAAAAUUUAAAGUUUCAAAAAUAGUGCAAAUCGAGCAGAUCUAUGAAAACUUGAAAAUUAACGAUCCAAACAUGCGUUACAAGAUGCAUUAUUUUCGAAACUUGAAAUCCAUUUUUUUCUCAUGUCCAUGCAUUUGGAUGUCGAGAUGAUCAACUUGAGGAUAUUUGGGCAUCAAAAUAACUUCUUCUAGUGAAAUAUUUGAGGUAGGUUCUAAUUUGAUUGUUUAGAGCCUCGACUCUAUAUAAACUUUUCCUUAUUAUAUUGAUUUGAACCUAUUUUACUAGUCAUUUGUCACUUGAGUGCCGCUCUAUAUAAACUUUUUCCUUAUUAUAUUAUAUUGAUUUGACCCUAUUUUAGUGGAUGUCAAUUGUCACUUGAGUGCCGCUUCUUGUUGAGGCAUUUCUUUGGUCACUACCCAAUACAAUUACAUUAAAUAUAGAAAAAAGACUUCGUUCUCCUAAGGGAGUAUACUAUUUAUUUCCUCUCUCGGGCAAAAUACAUGCUAGGAAUACUAGUUAGAUCUCAAAUUUUGGGGAUGCAAUCUUUACGACCUAUUGAAUAAUCUUAGUGAAAAAAAUUUCAGAAACAAACUCCCAAUGUAAUAAAAAAAACUAAUGCCUCAAGAUUAAAUAGAGACGGUCAUAUUUUUAAAGGGCUAGAUUUAACUGUCACAAAACUCAAAAUUCAAAUAUUUCUCUUAAAAAUAAUCAUCUAGAAACUUUUGUAUGGUUUCCAAAGUUUUAGUCGAAAAAACUAACUGUGUUUUGACCAAGGAAGUAGAUACCCAGAAUGUUCCCGCAGGAGUGGCAGGAGCACAUUAUAUGCACUCUUAAAUAUAUUCCAUUUGUAAUGUGAUAUUUUGAUCAAUUGAUUGACCGUCAAAAAUAUUUUAUUUUUAAUAUUUCUCUACACAUUAUAUAAAUAUGAAAUUUGAUAGCUGCCAUCGUCUCAAUAAUCAUCUCAAUAGGGUACACUUAAAAAAUAUUUUUUGAUAAACUACAAUGAUCAAAUACCCUUAAAUCUUUCAAAGGCAUUUUGAUCAUUUUAUUUUUUUAGUAAUAUUAUUUUUAUAUUUCGACAGGUGCAAGUUUUAGAGAAGAAUGGAUGCCAAAAUUUGGUGUCAAAAUUUUUUGUAGAAAAAAAUCCAAAAUAAAAUAAUUUAGAGAUGUGACAUUGUGAUUGGGACCAUCUCAGCUGUCCAUUUAAAAUGAUCGGUUGAAUAGGGAGAAAUAUGUAUAUAUAUUUUUUUACAAUAAAAGUAUAGAGGGAUGUAUUAAAACUAAAAAUUUGCACCUUUUUUAGAAAAUAAUAACUUGAAAAAAGCAGAUCCGAGUUCUUGAAUGCCUUUAUUCACCAUUUAUCAAAUGGACAGCCUACGUUGAGAGCAUAGAGUCAUUUCCUACUCUCCUUUUUUUUUUGUUUUUGCUGCAAAUUUUUUUCCUUUUUUUUAAGAAGUUUUGGCACCAAAAGUACAUCUUAUGAUAAAAUUUAGAGGUGCGCCUUAAUUUGAUUGUUUAAAGUUGCAGCCCUAUACAAACCACACCCUUUUUUUUUCACUGCCUCGAAAAAGUGAAUAUGUGCGAAAUUUAAGGUUUCCACAAACCCCUCUAGAUCCAAUAGACCUAUGCUACAGUAUAAGCUCAUGGGCUUUAUAUUAUAACGGUUCUCUGUCAAUCUAAGUAUUGCGGUAGAGCUGACCAAUAUCUUGAUGGACGAUUGAGAUUUGUCAAGAGGUUGCUCAAAUUGGAUCCUUGUUGAGAUUUGCAUGAAGAUAAAGAGAGAAAGGAAAGUGAGAGAGUAUCACCAUG
rnacentral:lncRNA from 1 species